GACCCACAGAGUCUAACAGAUGUCUCUAUAUUCCUUCUCCUCGAACUCUCAGAGGAUCCAGAACUGCAGCCGGUCGUCGCUGGGCUGUUCCUGUCCAUGUGCCUGGUCACGGUGCUGGAGAACCUGCUCAUCAUCCUGGCCGUCAGCCCUGACUCCCACCUCCACACCCCAUGUACUUCUUCCUCUCCAACCUGUCCUUGCCUGACAUCGGUUUCACCUCCACACGGUCCCCAAGAUGAUUGUGGACAUCCAGUCUCACAGCAGAGUCAUCUCCUAUGCAGGCUGCCUGACUCAGAUGUCUCUCUUUGCCAUUUUUGGAGGCAGGGAAGAGAGACAUGCUCCUGAGUGUGAUGGCCUACGACCAGUUUGUAGCCAUCUGUCACCCUCCAUAUCGUUCAGCCAUCUUGAACCCGUGUUUCUGUGGCUUCCUAGAUUUGUUGUCCUUGUUUUUUUUUUCUUUUUUUUUUUUUCCCUCAGUCUUUUAGACUCUCAGCUGCACAACUUGAUUGCCUUACAAAUGACCUGCUUCAAGGAUGUGGAAAUUCCUAAUUUCUUCUGGGAACCUUCUGUGACACCUUCACCAGGAACAUCAACAUGUAUUUCCCUGCUGCCGUAUUUGGUUUUCUUCCCAUCUCGGGGACCCUUUUCUCUUACUGUAAAAUUGUUUCCUCCAUUCUGAGGGUUUCAUCAUCAGGUGGGAAGUAUAAACCUUCACCACCUGUGGGUCUCACCUGUCAGUUGUUUGCUGAUUUUAUGGAACAGGCGUUGGAGGGUACCUCGGUUCAGAUGUGUCAUCUUCCCCGAGAAAGCGUGCAGUGGCCUCAGUGAUGUACACGGUGGUCACCCCCAUGCUGAACCCCUUCAUCUACAGCCUGAGAAACAGGGAUA
rnacentral:lncRNA from 1 species